CCUACGGGAGGCAGCACUACGGAAUCUUCACACAAUGGGCGAAAGUAUGAUGCAGCAACGCCGCGUGAGUGAUGAAGGCCUUCGGGUCGUAAAACUCGGUUUCGGAGAAGAACGAGUUGAGAGUAACUGCUCAGCAG
rnacentral:rRNA from 1 species